CGCGUUGGGAGGGUUGUUCUAGGGUUUACGCACUCUCGGCGAUGGCGGAGCAUCUCGCCUCCAUCUUCGGCACAGAGAAGGAUCGCGUUAACUGCCCCUUCUAUUUCAAGAUCGGCGCUUGCCGCCAUGGCGACCGCUGCUCCAGGCUCCACAACAAGCCCACAAUCAGCCCCACGCUGCUGCUCUCGAAUAUGUACCAGAGGCCGGAUAUGGCGACGCCGGGGAUGGAUCUGAAUGGGCAGACGAUGGAUCAGAAGAAAAUCCAGGAGCAUUUUGAGGACUUUUACGAGGAUAUGUUUGAGGAGCUCAGCAAGUAUGGGGAGAUUGAAAGCCUCAAUGUGUGCGACAAUCUUGCAGACCAUAUGGUUGGAAAUGUGUAUGUGCAAUUUAGGGAGGAGGAAGAAGCUGCUGCGGCUCUGAAGGCACUAUCAGGACGUUUCUAUGCAGGUCGACCCAUCAUCGUUGAUUUUUCGCCUGUGACCGAUUUUCGAGAAGCUACAUGUCGUCAGUACGAAGAAAACACUUGUAACCGUGGAGGCUACUGCAACUUCAUGCACUUGCGACGCAUUGGAAGAGAGUUACGGAGGCGGCUGUUUGGAGGCUACAGAAGACGAGGAGGACGCAGCAGAAGCCGCAGCAUGAGUCCUCGCAGGCAAGACGACCGUCGCCACUACGACGAUCGGCGACGGAGGUACGAUGAUCGAGGAGGUAACUACGAUCAUCACAGCAGGUACGAUCGACCGCGGAGGCGAGAUGGCAGCCGCAGCCGCAGUCCUCGAUCGCGCGGCGGCCGGGAAGGCAGCGUGGAGAGGCGAGCCAGGAUCGAGCAAUGGAACAGGGAGCGAGAGGAGCACGGCGGAGGAGGCGCUGGCGGCGAAGCGAAUGGAAACCAGCUUCCAUACGGCGCCGAGUGAAUCGCAACGCUCUCUGAUCUCCACUCUGUGCAGGUGUGCAGGGCACCACCUUGAUGUGCAAAACUUUUGGAUUUUUUGCUUGCUUGGUCUUGCCUGUUCUUCCCUCUCUCCCGGUUUUUUCUUUGUUCUUCCGGGCUUUUUCCAUUCCCGAGCAGGCCUUUUUUUUGCUUUCUUCUACUUGGUCCCUGCAUUGCUGCUUGCCUUUGCAUUCUCUCCAGGUUGAUACUAACAUCACAGGAGUUUUUUUUAUAGCUGCUGCCUGUCUCUCAGGUUGAUUGGUUUCACGCAGAAAGGCGUCGUGAAGAACAAGCACGAGAAAAAAAAAAGAGCUGUGCGGGCUGCUUAUGUAAAACAAAACUAUGGUUUGAUUAAUAGGAACGCUAAUACCGUGGUUGGUAUAUUUGAUUC